UAGGGAAUCUUCCACAAUGGACGCAAGUCUGAUGGAGCAACGCCGCGUGAGUGAAGAAGGUUUUCGGAUCGUAAAGCUCUGUUGUUGGUGAAGAAGGAUAGAGGUAGUAACUGGCCUUUAUUUGACGGUAAUCAACCAGAAAGUCACGGCUAACUACGUGCCAGCAGCCGCGGUAAUACGUAGGUGGCAAGCGUUGUCCGGAUUUCUUGGGCGUAAAGCGAGCGCAGGCGGAAGAAUAAGUCUGAUGUGAAAGCCCUCGGCUUAACCGAGGAACUGCAUCGGAAACUGUUUUUCUUGAGUGCAGAAGAGGAGAGUGGAAUUCCAUGUGUAGCGGUGGAAUGCGUAGAUAUAUGGAAGAACACCAGUGGCGAAGGCGACUCUCUGGUCUGCAACUGACGCUGAGGCUCGAAAGCAUGGGUAGCGAACAGG
rnacentral:rRNA from 1 species